rnacentral:rRNA from 1 species
UACAGAGGGUGCGAGCGUUAAUCGGAAUUACUGGGCGUAAAGCGUGCGUAGACGGUUAUGUAAGUCGGAUGUGAAAGCCCCGGGCUUAACCUGGGAAUUGCAUUCGAGACUGCAUAGCUAGGAUGCGGAAGAGGGAAGUGGAAUUUCCGGUGUAGCGGUGAAAUGCGUAGAUAUCGGAAGGAACACCAGUGGCGAAAGCGACUUCCUGGUCCAGCAUCGA